AACCUGCACAUCAUCUCCUCGCAGUUCCUUUCAUUCUCUCUCUCCUCUCUUGUGUACAACUCUUAUCUGAUGCUUAUCUCUAGUCUCCGUCUCUCCUACUCUGAUCCCUCUUCUUUAUCUAUGGAAAGCAUAACAUGUCGCUUUGGAGUAUGGCUAAUAAAAUUGUGGCACAGUGAAGCUUUUACGGGAAAUAUGGGAUCGCCAAGUGCAGUUAGCUCUCUGACUUCCUCUUAUGAAGAUAUUGAAUAUGGUAGUUUCCUUCCCCUUGCUUUGUGAAUCUCAUUCUGCAAAUCUGUGCUAUUCUUCAUACCCAACUGUGUUUGAGCACUAUGCCUUUAUUUCUCUGACUCAAGUAUUCCCCUUUCGCCUUCAUUCUUUUUGCCUCAAAUUGUUGAUUGUGAAUUCAGCUCUUAAGUCUAUUGUUUAUUGAAUCGGAAUGGUUGGUAUUAAGAAGGUUGCAUUCUUCAUAUUGAGCAUUAUAAUCAAGUAAUUAAGGCUAUGAAAAUUACUCAUGCGGGUUGGGAUUGAAUUCACAGCCUUAAGUGCUUUUUUUCAUUUAUUCUUUGCAUACAUAAUCAGUGGCGGCUGAUAUGAUUGGAAUCACGAUUUCAUGUUAUGGAAGGAUGAGAUAAUCUGAGAGUAUAAAUUAAUGCUAUCUUGUAUCUGAGCUUAGCAAAGGAAAACUUGUCCUGGCUUCAGGGAAUUUACAGGUCUAUCUUUGAGAUUAGAUGCCUUAUUUUGUUGCUUUUCCAUUUUUUGAUGCUUUUUAUUAUUAUAUAAUGUUUUAUAUCACAAGAUGUAACUAGAAAUUGAAAUAUUUACCUUUGUAUAUCUGUAUACUUCACUUAUACUGGCAUGCUGUUAUGAGAUUAUAAGUGAAAUCAUUGCUAA